GGCUCAGUGGUCUAGUGGUAUGAUUCUCGCGUUGGGUGCGAGAGACCACGGGUUGGAUUCCCGUCAGAGCCC
rfam:Nematostella vectensis strain CH2 x CH6 NEMVEscaffold_39_Cont6463, whole genome shotgun sequence.